AAGUGUCACAGCUGGAAGGGAAGGCCCAGAGCAAGCCUCCCAAGUUAUCUGCGGUCUCUAGCCCCCAUCCUCCUCCUGCCUUCAGUACUCCAAAGGACAAGAACAGAGGCUUUUCUUCUCUCUUUCUUACUGAAUGAAUUCUGCUUUGCUGGAGUUUGUUGUAAAACCAAGUGGCACUCUCUUUGAGGACAGGGACCGUGCAGAUGGACCAGGACUGGUGACACAAAGCCUCGGGAAGCUGACAAAGGGAUAAAGGAGUUGUUAUUAUGAGUCCAAUGUUGGGAAGAGAGAUGGGUUUGUUCCACAGUUGACCCUCAUGGGGAAACAAGUGAGCCCCUAUAUGUCACAGGAGGCAGCAGAUGAUGGCCCUGUUUCCACGGGUCAUAGGAAGAAACUUUGAAUACAUGCUCUGAUCCCUGAAAGUCAAGAGGACCAGCAAAAUCGAUUCUGAGGAGAGGGCUAUGUGACACAGGAGGACAGAGGAGGGAGACACAGAGACAUGGCCAACAGCUGACAAUAAGGACGCAGAAGAUGAAAACAAAGCAUCCAAGUCAGCAUUUCCUGGCUGAAAAUGGGAGGAAUGAAAGGGAUCCGACUUAGAAGGCAAUUAUGUCUGAUUGCAGCCAGGACGCUGCUUCCAGCGGACUCCUGCCUACCACUUCCCAGGAGCCGGGCAGGGACAUGGAAGGAUGAUGUCAGGGCUUUGGAUCAUAC
ensembl:sense_intronic Gm15606 predicted gene 15606